CUGUUAUCAGUGUUCUCCCCAGAAAUUUUGGAUAGCAUCACAUUUUGCGUAAAAAAAAAUAACUAUUUUUUUAAUGUCAUUUGUCGCGUCGCGUCGAUGCUCUUUUUCCUUUAUAUGUUUUAGUUUAUAUUGUUAUAUAUUCAUAACUGAGAAUACAAUUAAACUAUAACCACAAAAACAGUUGUUUCAGUUUAUGUUUUCUUUAUUCAUUUAUAGUUACAGAAUUAUUUUUUUCCUCUUGUGCCAAAUAAAAAUAAAUAUGUGGUUUCAGUUACCCAACAAUAAGUCAAAUGAAUGAAUGGUUCAUUAUAGUGCAAGCUGUAUAUAUACAA
rnacentral:lncRNA from 1 species